rnacentral:rRNA from 1 species
GAUAAACGCUGGCGGCGUGCCUAAUACAUGCAAGUCGAGCGAACAGACGAGGAGCUUGCUCCUCUGACGUUAGCGGCGGACGGGUGAGUAACACGUGGAUAACCUACCUAUAAGACUGGGAUAACUUCGGGAAACCGGAGCUAAUACCGGAUAAUAUAUUGAACCGCAUGGUUCAAUAGUGAAAGACGGUUUUGCUGUCACUUAUAGAUGGAUCCGCGCCGCAUUAGCUAGUUGGUAAGGUAACGGCUUACCAAGGCAACGAUGCGUAGCCGACCUGAGAGGGUGAUCGGCCACACUGGAACUGAGACACGGUCCAGACUCCUACGGGAGGCAGCAGUAGGGAAUCUUCCGCAAUGGGCGAAAGCCUGACGGAGCAACGCCGCGUGAGUGAUGAAGGUCUUCGGAUCGUAAAACUCUGUUAUUAGGGAAGAACAAAUGUGUAGGUAACUAUGCACGUCUUGACGGUACCUAAUCAGAAAGCCACGGCUAACUACGUG